CUUUGACCUCGGAUCAGGUAGGGAUACCCGCUGAACUUAAGCAUAU
rnacentral:rRNA from 5 species